ensembl:snRNA U1 U1 spliceosomal RNA
ACACUUAUCUGGCAGGGUAGAUACCAUGAUCAUGAAGGUGGUUCCCAGAGUGAGGCUCAUCCAUUGCACUCUGGUUGUGCUGACCCCUGUGAUUUCCUCAAAUGCAGAAUUUUUAGUAGUGAGGGACUGUGUUCGUGCUUUUCCCGU